UUGACCUCGGAUCAGGUAGGAAUACCCGCUGAACUUAAGCAUAUCAAU
rnacentral:rRNA from 35 species